rnacentral:lncRNA from 1 species
GGGGAAGUGUGUGUUCUUGAAUUUCCAAAUUGUCGAAGAAUAUCUUUUAAAGUACAAUAAAUUACUCGUAAACUGAAAUAAACAAAAUAUAUAAAAUAGAAGCCCAAAUUUGUUUUAGGUGUAACAAACAUAAAAUUGCUUUGUCUGGUUGAUAAAGAAAAGUUUCUGGACACUCUCAAUUGUGUAUUUUUUUGGUUUUUCAGGCAACCUCACUUGGUCUACAACUGAUAUCUUACUUUUUGCCUUGGCCGACAAGUCUCAAGAUGUGAAUGAAGCUUCUAGCAAACGGUUGUCUCUCUCACCAAAUGAGUCUGUAAAGGAAGAAUAUACCCAACUGUGAUUGGCUGUCACACCGACUUUCAGGGCAUGGGGACAUUCAAAAGCAACGGGAAAUGGGCUUCAUAAAAGGUAGGUGUUUGGCCCCUUUGACAGUAAAAAUUGAACUACCUUCUCUGGCAACAGCAUAUGCAAC